GUCCCAGUAGUAUAAACAUUACUCUGGUCUUGUAAGCCAGGAAUGGAG
rnacentral:tRNA from 1 species